rnacentral:rRNA from 1 species
CACGUAGGGGGCAAGCGUUGUCCGGAUUUAUUGGGCGUAAAGAGCUCGUAGGCGGUUCAGUUAGUCGGGUGUGAAAUCUCCGGGCUCAACCCGGAGGGGCCACCCGAUACUGCUGUGACUCGAGUCCGGUAGGGGAGUGGGGAAUUCCUGGUGUAGCGGUGAAAUGCGCAGAUAUCAGGAGGAACACCGGUGGCGAAGGCGCCACUCUGGGCCGGUACUGACGCUGAGGAGCGAAAGCGUGGGUAGCAAACAGG